rnacentral:rRNA from 1 species
UACAGAGGUCCCAAGCGUUGUUCGGAUUUACUGGGCGUAAAGGGUGCGUAGGUGGUUGGGUAAGUCUGAUGUGAAAUCUCCGGGCUCAACCCGGAAAUGGCAUUGGAUACUAUUCGACUAGAGGGUUGGAGGGGGGACUGGAAUACUUGGUGUAGCAGUGAAAUGCGUAGAUAUCAAGUGGAACACCAGUGGCGAAGGCGGCUUUCUGGACAGAUACCGACGCUGAGGCACGAAAGCUAGGGGAGCAAACAGG